rnacentral:snoRNA from 1 species
AAUCCAUGGUGAGGACACUUUCGCAAUAGGUCCUUGUAUCUCUCCCAUGCAUCGUAAAGAGUUUCUAAGUCCAUCUGCACAAACGAGAUAACAUUAUGUAAUU